AAAGGAAUAGACGGGGGCCCGCACAAGCGGUGGAGCAUGUGGUUUAAUUCGAUGCAACGCGAAGAACCUUACCAGGACUUGACAUCCUGCGAAUCACUUGGAAACAAGAGAGUGCCCUUAUAGGGAGCGCAGAGACAGGUGGUGCAUGGUUGUCGUCAGCUCGUGUCGUGAGAUGUUGGGUUAAGUCCCGCAACGAGCGCAACCCUUGCACUUAGUUGCCAACACGUUAAGGUGUGCACUCUAAGUGGACUGCCGGUGACAAACCGGAGGAAGGUGGGGAUGACGUCAAAUCAUCAUGCCCUUUAUGUCCUGGGCUACACACGUGCUACAAUGGCCGGUACAGAGGGUUGCGAAAGGGCAACCUGGAGCUAAUCCCACAAAGCCGGCCCCAGUUCGGAUUGCAGGCUGCAAUUCGCCUGCAUGAAGUCGGAAUCGCUAGUAAUCGCGGAUCAGAAUGCCGCGGUGAAUACGUUCCCGGGCCUUGUACACACCGCCCGU
rnacentral:rRNA from 1 species